rnacentral:rRNA from 1 species
ACUCAAAUGAAUUGACGGGGACCCGCACAAGCAGUGGAGUAUGUGGUUUAAUUCGAAGCAACGCGAAGAACCUUACCAGGCCUUGACAUCCCCCUGAAUCCGCUAGAGAUAGCGGCGGCCUUCGGGACAGGGGAGACAGGUGGUGCAUGGUUGUCGUCAGCUCGUGUCGUGAGAUGUUGGGUUAAGUCCCGCAACGAGCGCAACCCUUGAUGCUAGUUGCCAGCGAGUAAGGUCGGGCACUCUAGGAUGACUGCCGGUGACAAACCGGAGGAAGGUGGGGAUGACGUCAAAUCAUCAUGCCCCUUAUGGCCUGGGCUACACACGUACUACAAUGGCCGUUACAGAGGGAAGCAAGGCCGCGAGGCGGAGCGAAUCUCAGAAAGGCGGUCUCAGUUCGGAUUGCAGGCUGCAACUCGCCUGCAUGAAGUCGGAAUUGCUAGUAAUCGCGGAUCAGCAUGCCGCGGUGAAUACGUUCCCGGGUCUUGUACACACCGCCCGU